CAGAGUAGAGCGGCGCGCGUAAAGUGCCGUCCCGACGGGGAGUUGCGGGGCGGACGAAAGUUUUACUGCGGUGCGUCGCCCGCAUCCCGCUGU
rnacentral:ncRNA from 1 species